rnacentral:rRNA from 1 species
AUUAAGCAUAUAAUUAAGCGGAGGAAAAGAAACUAACCAGGAUUCCCCUAGUAAGGGCGACUGAAGCGGGAUGAGCUCAGGAUGUGAAUCUGUAUACUAACAUUAUUGAAAUGUAUACCGAAUUGUGGUCUGUAGACUUUGACGUUAACAUGCCGGGCCAAGUCCCUUGGAACAGGGCAGCAGAGAGGGUGAGACUCCCGUUCGCCUGGUGGUGUGAGUCAGAUGUCAACGAGUCGAGUUGUUUGGGAUUGCAGCUCUAAUUGGGUGGUAAAUUCCAUCUAAAGCUAAAUAUUGGUGGGAGACCGAUAGCGUACAAGUACCGUGAGGGAAAGAUGCAAAGAACUUUGAAAAGAGAGUUAAAGAGUACCUGAAAUUGCUGAAACGGAAGCGAAGGAAACCAGUGUCUGAUUGUACCAUACUUCCCUUGCCACUUGUGGUCUGGGCGCUGUGGUGCUUUCAUAGGUCUGCCUUGGUUGUGUCUCUCUGGAAGAGCGCCUACAGAGUUGAUGUGGGUUGCUAGCAUUGGGCGUGACUGAGUGCAGACGAAAUGGUUUUCUUUACCCCGUCUUGAAACACGGACCAAGGAGUCUAACAUAUGUGCGAGUACAGGGGUGGCAAACCCCGGUGCGUAAUGAAAGUGACAGUGGUUGGAUAUUUGCACAAUCCGCCGGCCUCAAUCCUUCGGGAGAACGGUCUGAGUGUGAGCAUACAUGUUGGGACCCGAAAGGUGAUGAACUAUGCCUGAAUAGGGUGAAGCCAGGGGAAACUCUGGUGGAGGCUCGUAGCGAUUCUGACGUGCAAAUCGAUCGUCAAAUUUGGGUAUAGGGGCGAAAGACUAAUCGAAUUACCUAGUAGCUGG